rnacentral:rRNA from 1 species
UACGUAGGGUGCAAGCGUUGUCCGGAAUUAUUGGGCGUAAAGAGCUCGUAGGCGGUCUGUCGCGUCGAAUGUGAAAACCCGGGGCUCAACUCCGGGCUUGCAUUCGAUACGGGCAGGCUAGAGUUCGGUAGGGGAGUCUGGAAUUCCUGGUGUAGUGGUGAAAUGCGUAGAGAUCAGGAGGAACACCGGUGGCGAAGGCGGCCUACUGGGCCAGCACUGACGCUGAGGCGCGAAAGCUCGGGGAGCGAACGGG